AAUUCGACGCAACGCGAAGAACCUUACCUGGGCUUGACAUCCCGAUCGCACCUUAUGGAAACAUAGGGGUCAGUUCGGCUGGAUCGGUGACAGGUGCUGCAUGGCUGUCGUCAGCUCGUGUCGUGAGAUGUUGGGUUAAGUCCCGCAACGAGCGCAACCCUUGUCCUUAGUUGCCAGCAUUCAGUUGGGCACUCUAAGGAGACUGCCGGUGUCAAACCGGAGGAAGGGUGGGGAUGACGUCAAGUCCUCAUGGCCCUUAUGUCCAGGGCUACACACGUGCUACAAUGGCCGGUACGAAAGGGGCGCAAGACCGCGAGGUGGAGACAAACUCCCAAAAAACCGGUCUCAGUUCGGAUUGGAGUCUGCAACUCGACUCCAUGAAGUUGGAAUCGCUAGUAAUCGCGUAUCAGCAUGACGCGGUGAAUACGUUCCCGGGCCUU
rnacentral:rRNA from 1 species